UCCGAAUUGGUGUAGGGGUUAACAUUUGACGCUCUCAAUCCCUUCAUAAGGGAAAAGGCGCCGUCAGGCCCGGGGUUCGAUUCCCCGAUUCGGAG